CCUACGGGUGGCAGCAGUGGGGAAUAUUGCACAAUGGGGGAAACCCUGAUGCAGCGACGCCGCGUGAGUGAAGAAGUAAUUCGUUACGUAAAGCUCUAUCAGCAGGGAAGAAACACUGACCUUACGGUCAGCAGACGGUACCUGAGUAAGAAGCCCCGGCUAACUACGUGCCAGCAGCCGCGGUAAUACGUAGGGGGCAAGCGUUAUCCGGAUUUACUGGGUGUAAAGGGAGCGUAGACGGUGCGCUAAGGCUGGAGUGAAAUGCCGCGGGUGAACUGCGGAACUGUUUUGGAAACUGGCGAACGAGAGUGCGGGAGGGGUAAGCGGAAUGCCUAGUGUAGCGGUGAAAUGCGUAGAUAGUAGGAGGAACACCGGUGGCGAAGGCGGCUUACUGGACCGUAACUGACGUUGAGGCUCGAAAGCGUGGGGAGCAAACAGGAUUAGAUACCCUAGUAGUC
rnacentral:rRNA from 1 species